GUGAGCGGGGUGGCUGGCUGCUGCUUGGUGUAUCAGUGUGAACGGCGCUCCGACAGCCGCCACCCGCGCGCGCACUGCCCUCUGACCUAGUUCAUACCGGUGGUGGUGGUGGUGCCCUGCCGCGGCCCUUCGGACGGUGUGUGACCCUGCCGCCCUGCACCAAUGUCCGCCCCGGCCUGUGCCCCCGCGUAGGUGCUAUGCUGAGGGGUGGGGCGACGUCGGUGGCUGACCGUGGCGGUGAUGGUUUGACCAGUCUACGUGUCCGAGAAGCGGGUCCUCCUCCUCCUCCUCCUCUUCUUCCUCCUUCCUCCUCCUUCUCCUCUUUCUCUUCCUUCUUUUCCUUCCUCUUCUCUUCCUCUUCUCCAUCCUGUUCCUUCGGCUCCUCCCGCUGCUGUUGCUGUUGUCGUUCGCCUCCACGCUCCUCCGACAGAUGGGCGGCAGGUGUUUGUGAUGUGAGAACGCUGGUAAGAAUGAUUGUAA